CCUACGGGUGGCAGCAGUGAGGAAUAUUGGUCAAUGGCCGGAAGGCUGAACCAGCCAUGCCGCGUGAAGGUCAGUGCCCUAUGGGCGUUAAACUUCUUUUGUGCGGGAGCAAUAAUGGUCACGCGGGGCCAGACGAGAGUACCGUACGAAUAAGCAUCGGCUAACUCCGGGCCAGCAGCCGCGGUAAUACCGGGGAUGCAGGCGUUAUCCGGAGUUUAUGGGUUUAAAGGGGUCGGUGGCUGGUAGGUAAGUCAGAGGGCAAAUGCCCCCGCUCAAAGGGGUGAAGUGCCAUUGAUACUGCCUUGCUGGAAUGCGGAUGCCGUGGGAGGAAUGUGUGGUGUAGCGGUGAAAUGCAUAGAUAUCACACAGAACACCGAUUGCGAAGGCAGCUCACGAGUCCGCGAUUGACGCUGAUGCACGAAAGCGUGGGUAUCAAACAGGAUUAGAUACCCGGGUAGUC
rnacentral:rRNA from 1 species